AGGAGUGAUUUGUUUGCAGUAGGAAUACGUUGGCAAGAUGGCACAAAUUUCUUCUUUUUCUUGUUUACACUGGAAGGAAAAAGGCUCUGCAUGCACUCAACUGAUUCUGUACUGUUGGAAAAAAGCAAUGAACAAAUGAAUCUGAACUGCUCUCAUGGCACCAACCUGAGCCUUCUUCAUGUACUCGAGGUGAUCCUGCACAGCAACCUGCAGGUAGGCUGGGACCUGGAAUAUUUCCUGCUGAUGGUCCAUCAGGAAGGACAGCAGGCGUGUGGAAAGCAGCUCAUCCAGGUCCUCCUCCUCUGCACAGCGCAGGACACAGCGGGAAAACGUCUGGAUCAGCUGGAAAAGUUCAGCACAGCUGCAGUGGAGAAAGCUGGGGGAUUUAUUUUCUCCUCUCCACUCCACAGUGCCUCAAAUCUCCCAGUACCAACUUCCAAGUAGGGUCACACAAGGAGGAAGAGUCAUUAUUGUUCCCUCAGCUGAAUUAAUUUCUUAGGGAUUGAACAGAACUUUCAAUUAAAAACACAUAUGGUAAAAGGUGGUAGCAGAAAAAGGCUUAACCUAUAGAAAACUGAACAUACUCACAGGACUGUAGAAUAGGUUCCUGGAAUGGCUUGGGUUGGAGCAGGGACACCUCCCACUGUCCCAGGUGCUCCAGCCUGGCCUUGGGCACUGCCAGGGAUCCAGGGCCUGCCCACCCUCUGAAUAAAGAAUUUCUUCCUACUGCUAAUCUAAACCUGAAUCUUCAAUUGGCCAUCUGGAGACAAGUGAGGUGAUUAAAACCUGCAGAGCCACCCUAAUGCACACCAGGAUUAAACUGGAAUGAGAUGGGCUUUAAGGUCCCUCCCAACCCAAACCAGUCUGGGAUUCUAAAUAGCAGCAGGGUGAGAAAUCAGGCUGAGCAAUCAUCUGCAUUCCUCUAAGCAGAGCUUUUCCUGCCCUUACCAAGGACCUGGUGCCCAUGGCAUCGUGCAGCCGUGGCAUGUCAACGUUGCCACUGAUCCUGGCCAUCAUCCUCAGCAGCAGCUGCAGCUUCCUGCGCCUCGGCGGGGGCAGCAGCAGACAGCAGAUCUGCAGGGCCUCCACUGCAAUUCUCUCCAGGUGAGGCUGCAGGAGAUCUACAAGUUAACCGCAAAGACAGCUGGCAUUAAGAUCUGAACCAGCUUCCAGCAUGUUUCUACCUCAGUAUCACAGAUUUCUUAUUUUUCAGAGUGAUUAUUUAUGUUUCAGAGAAAUCAGCUGUAACACAGAAGAGAGCGUACACUCCUUGUGGUCAUCUUCAACUUCCUUCAUUAUGGUGCAAUAAGGACCACAAUACAAUUAAGGAAUGACCCUAAUUAUUCCCAGAAAAUACAGAACAGAAAAAGCCAUCUCCAGCAGGCAGGUGUGUGCAGAUUCCCUGUCCCCAUCACUUACCUGAGCAGCAAGGCCAAUCACUGACACAUCGAGCUCACACUCCAGAGUUACUACACACAGUUAGCAGAGCUACAGCAGCUUAAACAAUUUAGCCAGCAGAUUUCCUUUAAAAACCCCACAAAUCCAUGCUCUGUGCCUAUCCUAGCAAGAGUGGCAGAGGUGAGGGAAGCAGGGAUUAGUGAGGCCACACAACAAGGCAGUACAGCAUGCUGCAGAGAGCCCUUACUUGUGCCAGCCAACACACAAGGGGAGGGGGGGACAGAGCGUUCUGACAGCUCUGUGCUGCUCCUGCAGAGUCUCUUUUGGAUGCUGAUGGCCACAGAGGGGCUGGCAGUGCCCUGCCCCCGGGGCUGAGGCUGCACUGUGAUCUCAGCACUGGGUCUGUUGAUGGCACUGCAGCUCCUGGAGCUCCUCCUGCCCAGCAGGCUCGGGGAGCGGCGCGGUGCCCGGGGCCCGGGGCUGCCAUCCCACAGCUGCUCAGCCCAGGGACACGGGCCAGGCACUCUGCUGAGGCCCUGGCUCUGGGCUGGGCCACCCCAGCCCAGCUCCACCACUGAGGUCACUCUGUGCUCCUCCAGCAGCUCCCCACUCCUCGUGGUGGUGCUCACACCUCCUCCCCUGAGGGGGGCACGUCCUCCUUUAUCACACACACUUGAAGCAGCAGUUCCAAUUCUUUCCAAGGAGUAACACCUUGUCCUAAAUGCUCCAGGUGGCUCUUGGGCAUUCCUGGCUCCUGCAAGAUUCUGGCAGCUCCCUCCUAUCAGGCUCCCAGCUCUGCCUUGCUGACGUGGCAGUUUGUGCUGCUGCCAUUUCUGUCCGUGCUGGUUUUGGGCUCUCAGCUCCUCUGAGGAAAACCUCCUGGAAGUUUCUCCUUUCUCCUUCUUGUCAGACUCUCUGAGGAGCAGGCUUAGGAGAAGACACUCAGUGGACUUGAAAGAGUUCAAGUGAGGAGGUUUUGAAGGCUGAGGGUCACAUUUCUCCUCUUGGACAGAAUGUUUUCCACUGCCCAGAUCAGGAAUUUGGAUGUAGCCACACAAAACUAUCAGGAAAUGAGAGAGAUGUUAAAGGUGCAAGUGGUGUGAAAAUUAACCAGUUCAGAGGGCUGCUAACUGGGCAGACAAAGUCAAGAUAUUAAUUAAGAAGGCUUUAGUUCAGUCUCAAAGCAAUUUAACAAGGCCAUUGCAACCAACAUGCAAGAACAAAGACAGGUAACACUAAAAUAGUGAGGAGCAGGCAGAACAAGCACAUCUUUUGAAGCUUUUGUUAUUAAAUAUUUAGAAUGUGAGCUGAAACAGCAAUUUAAAUGGGAAAUCAUGAGGCAGAAGUACAUUUUAAUUAACACUAAUACAGGAUGGAGCAGUGAUGAUCCUCCUCACACUGGAGCUCCCACAGGCAUCAGGAGGCCAAGCUCUGCUUUCAAUCACACAUUUGUCCCCCAGCUGAACUCAGAGCUUCCCUGACUGUUUCUAAAUUCAUACAUACCUAAGAUGUUAACAAAGAGCUCAUAGUAUUCAAAAGUAAGCAAGGGCUCAGGAAGACUGAGAAAAUAAUCAGCAACUGUUCUGAACACGUCCCGCUCAAAGCCACUGUAGGUGGCUUGGCUCAUGUCCUUGUUCCUGGGCCCUGAAAAGAGGGGAAGAAAGGAAAUUGACACCAAAAAUCCACAGUCCCACUAGAAAAGAAAUUUCUGAAGAUCAGCCUAAAUUGUUGUUUCACAAGCAAAGAAUGCUAUCAGCAAUCCACAAAUAUUGUAUUUGGCACAAUCUGUAAGCAAAAGCAGUGUAAGAGAUUCCAGGCAGCCACUGAAGAAUUGUGCUCAGUUCUGUUCCACACCAAGAAAAUAAAUAAAGAAAAAUUAA